rnacentral:rRNA from 1 species
AUUGAACGCUGGCGGCAUGCCUUACACAUGCAAGUCGAACGGUAACAGGUCUUCGGAUGCUGACGAGUGGCGAACGGGUGAGUAAUACAUCGGAACGUGCCUAGUAGUGGGGGAUAACUACUCGAAAGAGUGGCUAAUACCGCAUGAGAUCUACGGAUGAAAGCAGGGGAUCGCAAGACCUUGUGCUACUAGAGCGGCCGAUGGCAGAUUAGGUAGUUGGUGGGAUAAAAGCGUACCAAGCCGACGAUCUGUAGCUGGUCUGAGAGGACGAUCAGCCACACUGGGACUGAGACACAGCCCAGACUCCUACGGGAGGCAGGAGUGGGGAAUUUUGGACAAUGGGCGCAAGCCUGAUCCAGCAAUGCCGCGUGCAGGAUGAAGGCCUUCGGGUUGUAAACUGCUUUUGUACGGAACGAAAAGCCCCGGGUUAAUACCCUGGGGUCAUGACGGUACCGUAAGAAUAAGCACCGGCUAACUACGUGCCAGCCGCCGCGGUAA